rnacentral:lncRNA from 1 species
GUCCUGGGCUAUUGCCCAGAGGGUCAGCUGCAGCUACGCAUCCUUUACAUGUCCCAGGCUUUCAAUGGCUCUUUUAAAACCGGAGGAACAUGGUUUGCUUUUCAUAGUGUCUGGGCUGGUCAGCUUGCAGCUUGACAAACUGGCAGUGUGGAAGGAAAGAAAGGGAAAUUCAAUCAGCGCUGGGAUUGAAAGCUCUCAGGACUCAAAUAUCACCGACACUGGGAAAGGAAAUGGUAGAAACAAAACACCCCAGAUCUAAAUUUGAUCCAUCAAGAGAAAUCAACUGAGAUUGACCUGAUUUUCCAU